rnacentral:misc_RNA from 1 species
CAGAGUUAUCUAAACUCCCAAACCCAUGUGAACUUUACCUAUGUUGCCUCGGCAGGACCUACCCGGUACUUACCCGGUAGCUACCCUGUAGUUACCCUGUAUCCUCUGGGUAGCCUGCCAGAGGACCCUUUAAACUCUUGUUUUAUUGUGGCACUCUGAGUUAUUAAAACUAAAUAAGUUA